ACGGCGAAGGACAGGGAAGGGAUAUCUGCGAUGACACAAGGACACAGAGGGAGGAGUUGCUGGAAAAAAAGGAAAGUUUUGUCUCCUUUAAAAUUUUGUUCAGGCCGGGCAGGUCUUGGCCAGAGCAGUAUCCCUUAGGGCCUCUUGAGGCUUUGAUCCUCACAGUGAGACCCCUGUGAACCUUACAAGACUUUAAGAGUGCCUGGGAAAGAAAUGAGCGGCCUAAAGCACCAUUAGACGUCCUCUAUUGGAUCUUGCAACAGACAUAGGUGUACUUGUCUUAAGUGCUGGCAAAAAGGACCUAAUGGAAUCCUAGACUUGAGAUAACCAUGUCAAGCAAAAGAAGCCCAACAAGUUACCUGAAGUUCAAGAACAGAGGGAGGGGCCAAGAUGGCGGAACAGCAUGGAAGUUUUUUUUUGCGUCUCCCGUCCCUGAAAUACAGCCGGAUCAACACUAAACCAUCCUGCACACCUAGAAAACUGAUUUGAGGAUUAACACAACAAUCUGCACAACCUGAACCAGAGAACUCAGCAGCAAACAUCAGUACUCCUCCUCUCCAACUGUCACUGACAAAUUUAAUAUGAAAAUAUUCUGAGAUUGACUUCUGAAGAGCAAGGCCUGAAUCGCUUGGGGAAAAUAAGAGAAACCUUGUUUAUUGGGGGAAUAGGAAAGUCAAUAAAUCCCUGACGAGCUUUGAUCCUAAUAGAGCAACAGACAGAAGACACAGAUAUUUUUCCAAAUGCCCUGGAUGAAAACAGAGAUUAUUAGAAAGGACACAAGUGAAAAAGACUGCUCCAGAAAUGUUUUAGAUAACAUGUUACAGUCCCUCUCAACUGCAAAGGAAUCUUGGGAGGAAGAGAAAGAAGGAUUUUUGCAUGAAGUCAACCAGCAAGCAACACAAUUAGAGACCAUGUACUUACCAAUAA